rnacentral:rRNA from 1 species
UUCAGAGGGGGACAACAGUUGGAAACGACUGCUAAUACCGCAUACGAUCUAAUCUCGGCAUCGAGGAUAGAUGAAAGGUGGCCUCUAUGUAUAAGCUAUCACUGAAGGAGGGGAUUGCGUCUGAUUAGCUAGUUGGAGGGGUAACGGCCCACCAAGGCGAUGAUCAGUAGCCGGUCUGAGAGGAUGAACGGCCACAUUGGGACUGAGACACGGCCCAGACUCCUACGGGAGGCAGCAUG